AAGUAAUUAAGAGCACAAGGCGGAUGCCUUGGCAGCUGAAGGCGAUGAAGGACGUAGUAACUUGCGAUAAGCUUCGGGGAGCUAGUAAACAAGCUUUGAUCCGAAGAUUUCCGAAUGGGAAAACCCAAUAUACAUAAGUAUAUUAUUUCAUACUGAAUACAUAGGUAUGAAAGGCAAACCUAGGGAACUGAAACAUCUAAGUACCUAGAGGAAAAAAAAAAAAAAAA
rnacentral:rRNA from 14 species